UAAAACAGGAAAAAGAACUAUUAAAAGUCGCAUGUCCAUGACGGAUCCCCCUUGUAACCUUUUUUUUUUUUUUUUUUUUUUUUUUUU
rnacentral:ribozyme from 1 species